UUUCUAGGGCAUGUAGCUUCCUCACAUUUCCCAGAAUUCUUCAUAGUUAGACGGGGUAUGUGUUAUACUCUAUCUUUGCGCCUGGCCCAUCAACAGUUCCCAUACUUUCUCUUUCCCUGAGGGAUGACCUAAUGCAGAGCAUCCAGUGGAGGACUUCAAGCCCCCACAGAUGUUGAGUCAUUAUAUAGAAGGGACCUGUGUCCUUGAAUGUUUGUGUGGAGCAGAGCCUACCUGACGGGCUGCAUUGAACUGUGAUUGUCAAGGAUAUGACGUUCUGGGACUUCUGAGCCCAGGCCUUGAGAAGAAUGGCUGCUUUAAUGUCUUCCCUCUUGGAAGCCAACUGCCAUUUGAGAGGUCUAACUAUCCUGAGACCACCUUGCUAUGAGAAAGCCCCAGGUGACCAUGUGGAGAGCCCACUUGGGCACCAGAGGAUUCUGCUUCAGGAAAAAAGAAAUUGUCUACUUACGCAGCUUGAAGAAGCUACCUGCCUAAUAUCCUACCUCAGUCCCAGUUUUAAAGAUGAAACAUUAAAAGAAGACAGUGGCUGCCCCGUUGUCUUUCAAGGGCAUUUAUGAAGCCGCCAUCUAUGGUUGCUCAUCACAAAAUGUUAUCUGAAGCAAGCAGAGACACAGGCCAUGUUCUCCGGGGGUUCUGAUGGGAAACAGACUUGCUUGGCGCUUACACCAUAGACUGUUCUAGAUGCUGUCUCCAAAAUGUUUCCUUCUGGUCCACGACUUUUGGUGGUAAUGACAUUCACACAUGGAAAGGACCCAGCCCCUCUUCUUCAACCAAACCCCAAACUUCUGUGGUCUUAGCCCCAGAAAGAAGAUCUCUAGAGGAGGUGGCUGGUGGACCAGGCACCCCUGAAUCUUCACCCUGGGUUGCUUCUUUCCCCUGGGGUUCUCUCACCCGAUUUCCACACUCACCACCAUCCCGCUGUCCUUGGAAAAUAUGCUGGUGCCCAGGGGACAUCUGCCCUCCAUCUUGGUUCCGCCUGACAGAAGUGAGAAAGGCUUUAUGUACUCUGAACAUAUUUAAGAGAAAAAAGGAAACAAAAUAAAGGAAAACACCAGAAUUGUAACUUGGAAAAGACUUGACUAAAUCCCAAGAGAGCUAAAAUGACGUGGAUGCAAAAACACAUGUGUGAUGACUCCUGUCUGAGAAAGCUUCUUUCCACGGCCCAGAGUCUGCAAUCAUUCUCUGUUGGCCUUGCCUGAAACCCCUGCUCCCUAGUGGAUUCCUCCACGGCAGCGCUGCUGACAUUCGGGGCUGGAUAAUUCUUGGCCGCCCCGUGCACUCUAGGAUGUUGAACAGCCUCCCUGGCCUCUGGGGUAGUUAGUGUCCGAACUGAAUUAAAUUGCAGGAUACCCAGUCGAUGUGGAGAAUGGAGAAUUGGGUGUUGCUGGAGAAACGACAUAUGAUGUCGUUGGGCCAUUGAUGGGAUCACUAGGACAUCCAAAACGAGAGAUCUCCUGCUUCUGGUGAGAGUCUAUUUAUGGUUAUGUAUCAAAAGGUAUAGCGAACCUCGAACAAAGUGUGUCAAGCCUGAUGGAACGCUUAGACAAUAAUAGGAUGUUGAUGGAGCAUCAUUAUGAUGUCAUCGAAUGUAAUUGUGCUCACACAGAUGGCAACAUUAAUUCUCCUGAUCUUUCGGAUGAAUUCGCUAUUGCAACAACUGAUUAAAAUUGCUGGCUUCCCUGGUGGUGUGGAUUAUGUAUCUCUAUCACAGAGAAUUUCCUGGCAAAAUAAUACAGUGUUUUUCUUAAAAUAUUUUAAAUGGUUAGACAAACUGGGAGGACGAAACUCCUUUGAGAGUGGCAGUUGUUAGUUAAAGAAAUAAGGGACAUGGUUGGCAUGGAGGGCGGGGAGAAAGUGUCCUUCCCUUGGGUGAGGGUGCUGUCUCCGGAAGAGCCUCUCCAGGCCCAGUGGGCUGAGGUCUUUGGGUCACCUGCACCACACCCUGACGAGUGACACGUUCCUAACACGAGACUCUGUCAAGGUGGUCGGGAACCUGGUUUUGCCCCCUGUUGGCUGGGGAUCUUGACUGUGACAGUAUGGCCACUCUUAUUCCCGGUUUCUGGGGGCUGAGUUUCCUAUGGCCUGCUAUAACAAAUCACCACAAACUUAGUGGCAUGAAGCAACACAAAUUCAUUAACUUACAGUUCUGGAGGCCACAAGCCUGAAAAUGGGUCUAAAAUCAAGCUGUUGGCAGGGCUGGAAGCUUCUGGAAGCUCUGGAGGAGAAGCCCUUCCUUGCCUUUUCUGCUUUCUUGGCUCAUUGGCUCCUUUCCAGCCGGCAAAGACAUCACUCCAAAAUCUGCUCCCAUCGUCACUCUCUUUCUCUGACUCUCCUCCUUUCCUGUUGUAAGGACCCUUGUGAUGACCUUGGGCCCAUUUGGAUAAUCCUGGAUAAUCCCCCAUCUCAAGACCCUUAGCUAUAUCACAUCUGCAAAGUCCCCUUUGCCAUCUAAGGUAACACCUUCUCAGCUUUCAGGGAUUAGGAUGUGGACAUCUUUGGGGGCCAUUACUCUGCCUGCCACACUGCGGACUGCACGGAACAAUCCAUGAUGGAGUUCAUUAGCCCAGGACCUCAGGAACGUGAAAAAAGGAAGUGUGGCGCAUCGCCAAAUGCAGCUAUGAAAACUACUCCACGAGGACCUGUUGUUCAUCUCCGGGUCUUAUUCAUCAAUGAUCUUAACCAGGCAGCUGCCAGAAUGGCCUCCAUUUUGAUCUGGUUUGGAUUUGUCUCUCUCUGUCCUCCCACUGCUGCUGAACUUCUCUUCCGAGAGCUCAAGAAGGGGCGUGUGUUUAGAAAUAGGCCAGGAUGUGUGAUUAUUCUGCUUCCUUGCGUUCUAUAGCGCUCAGAACCCAGAGGUGCUUAACAAGUAGGCAUCGUUACAGGUGGUGGUUCUGUUUAUAGUGCUUUGGCAGAAGUAUUGGUUGGCUGUCCGUAAACCAAAAUUGUAGAUGUCCAAGGUGAAUGCCAAAUUCCCGGGGCUCGGGGGCUGACGACGGCUGCCACGGUCAUUGCCCUGUGACCAAUGCUAGAGACUGGCCAGAAGAGAAGGGACCAAGUUCUGUUGUUACUCCCGGGGAUUAGAAAAAGCAUGUGUGGUAGAGUAACAAGCACACAAGAGAAUGGGCUACAGGGGAGAUAUAUUUAGACCUAGGUGCUCAACCAGGGUUGCAUAUUGGAAUCACCUGGGAAGAUUUGUUUAUUUAUUUAAUUUUUGGCUUACGUGGGAAGAUUUAACCAACUGAGCCACCCAGGCGCCCUCUUACGUGGGAAGAUUUAAACAGUGGCCUUGCGAAGCCUGCACUGCUGGAGUUUUGAAGCUAACCGGUCUGGGCAUCCGAGUUUUCAAAGCUCUCCAGGUGAUGCCAAUGUUCAGCGAGAGCCGAGAACCACUGAGAGGAAUUUGAGCUAGGCGGUGCAGAGAGCCCCAGGUGAGGUACUCUCAUACUCACAGAAGCCAUCUACACGAGGGCCUGUGCCUUCGAAUCUCGGCGGUCUUGUUAAAAUCCAGGCACUGAUUCAGCAGUUCUGGGCUGGGGCCUGAGAUUUUUGCAUUUCUAGCAAGCUUCUAGAUGAUGCUAAUGGUGCUGGUCCAAGGACCAGAAUUUAAGGAGUGAGGAUCUCCCAACCCAUUUUACAGAGGAGACAGUGGGCGCCCGGGAGCAUGGGUGAGUUACCAAAGGUUUGUGGCAGAGUUGGAAACAGGAUGGAAUCGCCUUCCUCCCCAUCCAGUGACCAUCCCAUGCCACAUGUCUGUCUCAAUUGAGAAAAAGAUUCACCAGUGCUAGCCAUCAGCGAAAAUAGGGCAUCGACUGAUUAUGUAAACAUUAUCAAGAUUUAGCAACAUGAAAAGAGGAAAAUCAUGAUAGUGUGGAUCAGCCAUAGUAAUUGUUUAUGAGCAAAAUGGGUAUAAGUUAUUUAUUUGCUUAAGGGACCAAACUCUAUGUGUAUUCAAGUUUUUUAUAUAUAUGAUUUUAUACAUAUAUACAUAGAUACUUUUUUCCUUUAUGAAACACUAUUUUAUCUAUUUAAAAAUUUUUUUUAAUUUAUUCAUUUUAGAGAGAGAGAGCACGGGGGGAGGGGCAGGGGGAGAGGGAGAGAAUCUCAAGCAGACUCUGAGCUGAGCACAGAGCCUGACGUGGGGCUCGAUCUCACGACCCUGAGAUCACGACCUGAGCCGAAACUAAGAGUCAGACGCUCAACCGACUGUGCCACCCAGACGCCCCAUGACACACUAUUUCAAUGAGAAGAAACCCUGAUGAUUGUCAGAGGGCUGAGAGUGAGAUGGGCCUCUGAACGUCACACAUCAGCUUGGUCUUCCUUCCCCAUGGACACGGCUGUUUAAGGCCAGGAGCCCUCAGAUGGACACGUGGGUGGCUCUGCUGCUGGGGGUUCUCUGGUUGGUCUGUCACCACCCGCAACACAUUCUUUCCUUCCCUUCCCUUUUCCUUCUCCUCUUCUUUUCUCCCCCUUUCCCUCCUCCCUCUCUUCCUUGCUCCCUUCUUUUCACUCAUAAACAUUGGAGGUGUACCCUUAAAAGUCUUUCUCCUCCAACAACCACCCCACCUAAUUUGGUACAAAUAUUUAGAAUGGCUAACUCUGUUUUUUAAUCCUUUGUAUUUUUCGUAAAAUUUUUUUUAUUCAAGUAUAAAUAACAUACAAUGUUAUAUUAGUUUUAGGUGUAUGGCAUAUUGAUCCCACAAUUCUGCACAUUAUGAAAUGCCCACCAUGAUAGGUGUAGUUACCGUCUGUCCCAUACACCAAUAUUACAAUAUUAUUGAUUCUAUUCCCUAUGCUGUACUUUUCAUCUUAGAACUGUUAAUUCUUUUUUUUUUAAGAUUAUAUUUAUUUAGAGAGAGAGAGGGGCACCUGGGUGGCUCAGUCGUUAAGCAUCUGCCUUCGGCUCAGGUCAUGAUCCCAGGGUCCUGGGAUCGAGCCCCACAUCGGGCUCCCUGCUCGGUUGGAAGCCUGCUUCUCCCUCUCCCACUCCCCCUGCUUGUGUUCCCUCUUUCGCUGUGUCUCUGUCAAAUAAAUAAAUAAAAUCCUUAAAAAAAAAAUUAAAAAAAUAUAUAUAUAGAGAGAGAAUGCAUGAGGUGGGAUGGGGAGGGAAAGGGCAGAGGGCGAGGGAAAAUCCCAAGCAGACUCUGCGCUCAGCGCAGAGCCAGAUUCGGUGCUUGAUCCCAUGACCCUGAGAUCAUGACCUGAGCCGAAAUCAGGAGUCGGACACUUAACUGACCGCGCCACCCAGGCGCCCCUAGAACUGUUAAUUCUCGAAGCUGGGCCAGUGAAAAGUGAGGCAAAAAUCAGUGUUGCCUCCUUGACCCUUUUGCAAAUGGCCUCGUGGAAGGAGGCAGGCUGCGCUAAGAGCUUUACAUCCUGGGCGAGAACUGGCCCCUCCACCCAUUGCCCUUCACCCUUGGACAAGCCACUCAGACCUUUACUAACCCCAUGGGUUAGAAGGGGGCGAUAAGAUUAUUUUCUAAGGUUGUUGUAAAUGAUAAUUCAGAGAAGAAUGGAAAAUUCUUCCCCAAAGGGGCUGCUGUUGUUGUUUGACUAAGGUGGGCUCUGAUCAGGACCGCCCCUUAAACAGCGAAAAGACCCAGUCAAGAGCCAAAAGGACUCCAUCAGGGAGUAAGUGAAGUAAAAGGAGGACCGUGGCUGGAUUUUGUCAUCAUACGUGCCCCUGAGAGGACCGAGUGGCCUGGCGUGAGACGUACUUGCUCGGCCAGGCCAGUGUCCAAGCUGGCGGGCCCGGUCCGAGCUCCGGUGGGAAUAGCAUUUCUGCCGCCAGCCCGUGUGCUUGGGACAAUACGACUCAUGAAAAGCAAAAUGAAAACUCACGUUACGUGACAAAUCACCGCUCAGAGAUGGUGUUUAUUCUGCAGAAAUGACUCGAGAAGGAGUGAUGAAGAGAACGGAUCGGAUGUGAAUAGAACCCUGAAGCCUGUCGUGCCAGGGGCCGCUCUCCUCCAUUUCAGUGGCAUUUGGGAGGCUGUGCUCCUCCAUCUUUUAUCUUCCGGUGCAGUUUGGAUGUUGUCCAGAGGUGUGAGAAGCGCCCAAGGAUCGUGAGUGAGGAAAUGGAUCAUGACAUUGAUUGUGAACCCUGCCGUAGGCAUGGCAACAAGGCGAGCUGUGUGGAUGAUCCCGAGCCACUUGCUUAAGAGCCGCCUGGUCCUGCACCAAUUACGCUAAGAGGCAGAAGAACUUUCUCUCUGCCAGCAGCUAACUCCUCUCAAUUCCCAUGAACAUUUACUAGAGUCUGUGGCGGCUGAAGUGGCGACAACACGUUUUCGGCAUCAGUCUGUCCUUCCUGUGAAAAGCUGUGCUCUUCUGAACAUGCUUCCAUAGGCAAUACAAAGCUAGAGAUACAUCAUCUGACUGUCAGUGUCGGUAUGAGGACUCUUGAUGAUUCAUGUGAAAGACAGCUUUGUACGAAUUAAGGACUUCCAUGAAGAGUACUGAUGGGCCCCUUCACACCUGGCCCAUCCUAGGGGCCCAGUCGCUAAUGCUGAAUGAAGAAUUACAUAGCACAGGAUUUGAAUGCUGAUUUGGCCACUUAUCCAUGAUGUGAAUUGGAGCCAGUCAUUCGUCCGCACAGUUGGGGACAGUAGCUGUCACCGUGGUAAUAAAUGAGGUCAAGGGCAAGAUUCAGCAGAGGUCCUAACACAUAGGAGGGUCUCGGCCAGUGUUCGUUCUCUUUCCCUUGGUGUCCACUCGGCAUUCCUUCUUUUAGUGCAAUGCGGCACACAACUUAGCCCUUGGAGUAAGCUUUCAGCUCUGCACUUAUGCUUACCCAGAAUUUUUCCCUUUUGACUUACAUGAUAUUAAUAUUCUAUAUUAUUAGGAAAAGAAGAGCAUUAAAAAUGUAAUUUCGGAGCCGCUUAGUUGGAUAAACACACAAUGUGUUCAUGAAACAUCUUGCUUGUCACCCGAACCUUUACUUUCUAAUUUUUGCUAAAGCAAACUUUUCUAGAAUCAAUGCUCUAAAAAUUAAAGGCACCAAGCCGGCCAGCUUUUGCAGGAAGGUCGAAGUGUAAACUGAUGCUCUGGUGGUCUCGAGGUUUCUACUUAGCCCACAACAGAGGCCACGUCUGAAGGCAAAGUCUCCACUGUGGGUUCCAUCCGUUUUGCAAGGAAUGAAGUGUAGGUCAGGGGUCGGGGCAGGGUGAAGGAAAAUGUCUUUGAAAGAACUCAUCGGAUGUCACUCAGGGAUUAUUCAUUUACUGAAAAGUCUACCUUUGGCCUGGGGAUUUGCGGAAGGUAGAAUUCGCUAGCUAUUUCCUUUGAACUCCGCAUCCAGGCAUCCAGAGGACUGCGGGCUCACCCCCGUGCGGCGACCCCUGUGUGGCGGUUUUCCACACCUGAUACCAGAGACACGGGUCUGCUCUGGCUCUUCGGGAAAGCCCAGGGGUUCAAGGAUGAGGAGAGAAAAAGAUGCGCUUCACAGCACGUUGGUUUUCAGUUGCUCUUACCCCAUCAUCAGAGUCCUUUACCGGUAAGGAGCCGAAAGCCACGAAGACCAUUUGGGAUCCCGUGAGA